CGCGCACAGGAUAAAAACGCAACGCGGGCCUUCACCCGCCAGAGCUGGUAGGUAGCCCAGCCAUCUGCACUUCGGCGCAGGUAAGUAACCCUCCCCUCCGGGUCGUCCGUUCCUGUGUACCAUACA
rnacentral:ncRNA from 1 species